CGGGAUGUAGCGCAGCUUGGUAGCGCAUCCGCUUUGGGAGCGGAGGGUCGCAGGUUCGAAUCCUGUCAUCCCGA
rnacentral:tRNA from 3 species